AGCCGGUGACGGUGCGCGAAUCCCAAAAAUAACGUCUCAGUUCGGAUUGUAGUCUGCAACUCGACUACAUGAAGCUGGAAUCGCUAGUAAUCGCGGAUCAGAAUGCCGCGGUGAAUACGUUCCCGGGUCUUGUACACACCGCCCGUCACACCAUGGGAGUCGGAAAUGCCCGAAGUCUGUGACCGAACCGAAAGGAAGGAGCAGCCGAAGGCAGGUCGGAUGACUGGGGUGAAGUCGUAACAAGGUAAC
rnacentral:rRNA from 1 species